rnacentral:tRNA from 1 species
GGACACGUAGCUCAGGGGCAGAGCAGCCGACUGCAGAUCGGCAGGUCGCCGGUUCAAUUCCGGCCGGGUCCU